rnacentral:rRNA from 1 species
UACAGAGGGUGCAAGCGUUGUUCGGAAUUAUUGGGCGUAAAGCGCGUGUAGGCGGCUUUGCAAGUCGGAUGUGAAAGCCCUCGGCUCAACCGAGGAAGUGCGUUCGAAACUGCAUGGCUAGAGUAUCGGAGAGGAUAGCGGAAUUCCCGGUGUAGAGGUGAAAUUCGUAGAUAUCGGGAGGAACACCAGUGGCGAAGGCGACUUCCUGGCCUGUUCUUGACGCUGAGGCGCGAAAAGCUAGGGGAGCAAACAGGG